UGGGGAAUAUUGCACAAUGGGCGCAAGCCUGAUGCAGCCAUGCCGCGUGUGUGAAGAGGCCUUCGGGUGUAAAGCACUUUCAGCGAGGAGGAAGGUGGUGAGCUUAAUACGCUCAUCAAUUGACGUUACUCGCAGAAGAAGCACCGGCUAACUCCGUGCCAGCAGCCGCGGUAAUACGGAGGGUGCAAGCGUUAAUCGGAAUUACUGGGCGUAAAGCGCACGCAGGCGGUUUGUUAAGUCAGAUGUGAAAUUCCCGGGCUCAACCUGGGAACUGCAUUUGAAACUGGCAAGCUAGAGUCUCGUAGAGGGGGGUAGAAUUCCAGGUGUAGCGGUGAAAUGCGUAGAGAUCUGGAGGAAUACCGGUGGCGAAGGCGGCCCCCUGGACGAAGACUGACGCUCAGGUGCGAAAGCGUGGGGCAGCAAACAGGAUUAGAUACCCUGGUAGUCCACGCUGUAAACGAUGUCGAUUUUGGAGGUUGUGCCCUUGAGGCGUGGCUUCCGGAGCUAACGCGUUAAAUCGACCGCCUGGGGAGUACGGCCGCAAGGUUAAAACUCAAAUGAAUUGACGGGGUCAUAGCUGUUCCU
rnacentral:rRNA from 1 species